GACGAACGCUGGCGGCGUGCUUAACACAUGCAAGUCGAACGGAAAGGCCCUGCUUUUGUGGGGUGCUCGAGUGGCGAACGGGUGAGUAACACGUGAGUAACCUGCCCUUGACUUUGGGAUAACUUCAAGAAACUGGGGCUAAUACCUGAUAGGAGCUCCUGCUGCAUGGUGGGGGUUGGACCGUUUCGGCGGUUGGGGAUGGACUCGCGGCUUAUCAGCUUGUUGGUGGGGUAGUGGCUUACCAAGGCUUUGACGGGUAGCCGGCCUGAGAGGGUGACCGGCCACAUUGGGACUGAGAUACGGCCCAGACUCCUACGGGAGGCAGCAGUGGGGAAUAUUGCACAAUGGGCGGAAGCCUGAUGCAGCAACGCCGCGUGCGGGAUGACGGCCUUCGGGUUGUAAACCGCUUUCGCCUGUGACGAAGCGUGAGUGACGGUAAUGGGUAAAGAAGCACCGGCUAACUACGUG
rnacentral:rRNA from 1 species